AUGCUUCUGAAAUGCAUUUUAAAAUAAGCCAAACUGGUCAUGUGGCACCUGUGAUAUUAUCUAGAAAAGUGUGACUUGAGGGAAUUUCUCCAGAAUCAAAGAUGUCUGAACGUGUCUGCAUGAACAGAACCCAGGACGCUCCUUACUAAGCAGGCUCUGCAGAACAAACGCAAGCCAGGAGGAAAAGAGGAAAACGUAGCACCUGGUUACCAUGAUUCUACUGUCUGCUUCUAUGAGUUAUACCUGACACUAAGACUCUUAGGAAAAAAAAAAAAAAAAAGACAGAGAAAAAGCUUCCUGACUUUGGCCUUGGCAAUAAUUUUCUAAGUAUGACCACGAAAGCACAGGCAACAAAAGCAAAGAUAGGCAAAUUGGAUUUCAUCAAACUAUAAAGGCUCUGUACAGCAAAGGAAACAACCAACGAAAGGAAAAUGCAACCUACAGAAUGGGAGAAGAUAUUUGAAAAUCAUAUAUUUGAUAGAAGAUUAAUAUUCAUAGUAUCUGAGGAACUUUUACAACUCAAUAGCAGAAAAACAAAAUAACCAGAUUGAAAACCGGGCAAAGAAAUGGAAUACGCAUUUCUCCAAAGAAGACAUACAAAUGGCCAGCAUGUAUAUGAAACAGUUGAUAUCACACUCAUCAUCAGGGAAAUACAAAUCAGAACUCAGAACCAUGAUGAAAUUUAUUUCACAUCCCUUAGAGUGACUAUUUCAUAUGUGUGCGUGUGUUUAUGUGGGUGCGUAUAUAUAGGUGUGUGUGUAUAUAUAUAUAUACACAUAGAUACAUAUAUAUAAGUAAAAAAAUGUUGGCGAAGAUGUGGAGAAAUUGGAACUCUUGUACACUGUUGGUAGGAAUGGAAAAUGGUACAAGCAUUAUGGAAAACAGCAUGGAGUUUCCUCAAAAAAUUAAAAAUAGAACUGCCAUGUGACCCAGCAAUCCCACUACUGGGUAUAUAUGCAAAGGAAUUGAAAUCAGCAUGUUGAAGAGAUACCUUCUCUCCUGUGUUUAUCGCAGCGUUAUUCACAACAGCCAAGAUAUGGAAUCAUGUCUUUUGAUGGAUGAAUGGAUAAAGAAAAUGUAGUAUUUAAAUAUAAUGGAAUAUUAUCUAGUUUUAAAAAAAGAAGAAGAAUCUGCCAUUUGUGACAACACCAAUGAUCCUAGAAGACAUUAUGCUAAGUGAAAUAGGGCAGACACAGAAGAACAAAUACUACAGGUUCUCGCUUAUAUGAAAAAGACAUUUGCUUUUCAAAAAAGAUCUUGAGAUUGUUAUUUAAUAGCCCAAGAGUAACUUAAGAUUAAUCAUUGCAACUUGGCCCCGUUCUGGGGAAAAGGCAUUUAUUUGAAGUUAUUGUGUAGAUAACCAAUGUCAUUUGAUGGUUUUGAGUGAUUUAUAAUCCUGGGGAUUUCCGUUCUCCUCUGAUUUGAAACAACAAGCAUAUUCAGGAGACUUUGCCCCAUUCUGACUGUUUCUAUCACAGCUAUGGUGCCUGGGUAUUCUACCUUUCCAACACCAGCCUCUCGCUGCGUGUGUGAGAGAAAGAGAUCAAAGCAGGAACAACAAAAUCCAGAUGCAAAUUUACUACAUAAAUAAAUGCUUUAAUAGUCUGAAAA
rnacentral:lncRNA from 1 species